AGCAGCCGCGGUAAUUCCAGCUCCAAUAGCGUAUAUUAAAGUUGUUGCAGUUAAAAAGCUCGUAGUUGAACUUCGGGAUCAAUGGAUCGGUCAUGCCAUCGGUAUGUACUGGUCUCAUUGGUUCUCACCUUCUAAGGAACCUUAAUGUCAUUCAUUUGAUGUUUUGGGGAAUUAGGACUGUUACCUUGAAAAAAUUAGAGUGUUUAAAGCAGGCUAACGCUUAAAUACAUUAGCAUGGAAUAAUGAAAUAGGACAUCGCAUUCUAUUUUGUUGGUUUCUAGGAUCGAUGUAAUGAUUAAUAGGGAUAGUUGGGGGCAUUAGUAUUCAAUUGUCAGAGGUGAAAUUCUUGGAUUUAUUGAAGACUAACUACUGCGAAAGCAUUUGCCAAGGAUGUUUUCAUUAAUCAAGAACGAAAGUUAGGGGAUCGAAGACGAUCAGAUACCGUCGUAGUCUUAACCAUAAACUAUGCCGACUAGGGAUCGGAUGAUGUUGAUUUUUUAAUGACU
rnacentral:rRNA from 1 species